AGAGCGAACGCUGGCGGCAGGCUUAACACAUGCAAGUCGAGCGGACGUAGCAAUACGUCAGCGGCAGACGGGUGAGUAACGCGUGGGAACGUACCUUUUGGUUCGGAACAACACAGGGAAACUUGUGCUAAUACCGAAUACGCCCUUACGGGGAAAGAUUUAUCGCCGAAAGAUCGGCCCGCGUCUGAUUAGCUAGUUGGUGGGGUAACGGCCCACCAAGGCGACGAUCAGUAGCUGGUCUGAGAGGAUGAUCAGCCACAUUGGGACUGAGACACGGCCCAAACUCCUACGGGAGGCAGCAGUGGGGAAUAUUGGACAAUGGGCGCAAGCCUGAUCCAGCCAUGCCGCGUGAGUGAUGAAGGCCCUAGGGUUGUAAAGCUCUUUUGUGCGGGAAGAUAAUGACGGUACCGCAAGAAUAAGCCCCGGCUAACUUCGCGCCAGCAGCCGC
rnacentral:rRNA from 1 species